rnacentral:rRNA from 1 species
AUGGAUGGGGAUGCGUCUGAUUAGCUUGUUGGCGGGGUAACGGCCCACCAAGGCAACGAUCAGUAGGGGUUCUGAGAGGAAGGUCCCCCACAUUGGAACUGAGACACGGUCCAAACUCCUACGGGAGGCAGCAGUGAGGAAUAUUGGUCAAUGGGCGCGAGCCUGAACCAGCCAAGUAGCGUGCAGGAUGACGGCCCUAUGGGUUGUAAACUGCUUUUGUAUGGGGAUAAAGUCAAUCACGUGUGAUUGUUUGCAGGUACCAUACGAAUAAGGACCGGCUAAUUCCGUGCCAGCAGCCGCGGUAAUACGGAAGGUCCGGGCGUUAUCCGGAUUUAUUGGGUUUAAAGGGAGCGUAGGCUGGAGAUUAAGUGUGUUGUGAAAUGUAGACGCUCAACGUCUGACUUGCAGCGCAUACUGGUUUCCUUGAGUACGCACAACGUUGGCGGAAUUCGUCGUGUAGCGGUGAAAUGCUUAGAUAUGACGAAGAACUCCGAUUGCGAAGGCAGCUGACGGGAGCGCAACUGACGCUUAAGCUCGAAGGUGCGGGUAUCGAACAGGAUUAGAUACCCUGGUAGUCCGCACAGUAAACGAUGGAUGCCCGCUGUUGGUACCUGGUAUCAGCGGCUAAGCGAAAGCAUUAAGCAUCCCACCUGGGGAGUACGCCGGCAACGGUGAAACUCAAAGGAAUUGACGGGGGCCCGCACAAGCGGAGGAACAUGUGGUUUAAUUCGAUGAUACGCGAGGAACCUUACCCGGGCUUGAAUUGCAGAGGAAGGAUUUAGAGAUAAUGACGCCCUUCGGGGUCUCUGUGAAGGUGCUGCAUGGUUGUCGUCAGCUCGUGCCGUGAGGUGUCGGCUUAAGUGCCAUAACGAGCGCAACCCCUCUCUUCAGUUGCCAUCAGGUAAAGCUGGGCACUCUGGAGACACUGCCACCGUAAGGUGUGAGGAAGGUGGGGAUGACGUCAAAUCAGCACGGCCCUUACGUCCGGGGCUACACACGUGUUACAAUGGCCGGUACAGAGGGA